GAUCCUUCGUUGUACUAAAAACUAUUCAAUUGAAAUAAGCAUAGCGUGAGGUUUUUCACAAUAUAAAGUGAUCAAACAAUUUUGUAUUUGUUGCAUGCAAAGGUAGAGUAAAAAAUGGCUGAAACUCUCAAGAUUUUUUAUACUAUGAUCCUUUUUGUGUUCUUAUGUCUUGCUCUAGUCGAUGGUGGUGCUAUAACAUGUACAUCACACAUCGAAUGUCUAACUUUGAAUUGUCCCUUUAAUGGUCGUGGAUUUUGCAUACUUGGUAAAUGUGAGUGUGUAUAGUACAAGUAAAGGUUAAAUUCAACAUGAUCACGACAAGCAAUCGUUGGAGCUUUUCUUGUGGAACUGAAGUACUAGAGUCUAGUACUUCACUUCAUUUUAAGAGUUUUUUUUUUUUUUUUACUAUUGUUUAUUUUCUUUUCUGAUAUGGGUAGAGAUCUUUGAUAUUCAAUAGUAUCUUUUGAAUCAGCUACUCUAUUUAAUAAUUGUUUGUAUUGUUUAAGAUUUAGUGUUUACACUUGUUUUACAUUUUAGUUUUUAAAGUUAUGAGUUAUAAAAUUAUUGUUAUUAUCUAUAAUAUUAUGUUUUUGAAAUGUGCAAACUUAGUAUUUGUUUA